AGAGUUUGAUCCUGGCUCAGGACGAACGCUGGCGGCGCGCCUAACACAUGCAAGUCGAACGAGAGAGAGGAAGCUUGCUUCCUCAAUCGAGUGGCGAACGGGUGAGUAACGCGUGAGGAACCUGCCUCAAAGAGGGGGACAACAGUUGGAAACGACUGCUAAUACCGCAUAAGCCCACAGGUCGGCAUCGACCAGAGGGAAAAGGAGCAAUCCGCUUUGAGAUGGCCUCGCGUCCGAUUAGCUAGUUGGUGAGGUAACGGCCCACCAAGGCGACGAUCGGUAGCCGGACUGAGAGGUUGAACGGCCACAUUGGGACUGAGACACGGCCCAGACUCCUACGGGAGGCAGCAGUGGGGAAUAUUGCACAAUGGGGGAAACCCUGAUGCAGCGACGCCGCGUGGAGGAAGAAGGUCUUCGGAUUGUAAACUCCUGUUGUUGAGGAAGAUAAUGACGGUACUCAACAAGGAAGUGACGGCUAACUACGUGCCAGCAGCCGCGGUAAAACGUAGGUCACAAGCGUUGUCCGGAAUUACUGGGUGUAAAGGGAGCGCAGGCGGGAAGACAAGUUGGAAGUGAAAUCUAUGGGCUCAACCCAUAAACUGCUUUCAAAACUGUUUUUCUUGAGUAGUGCAGAGGUAGGCGGAAUUCCCGGUGUAGCGGUGGAAUGCGUAGAUAUCGGGAGGAACACCAGUGGCGAAGGCGGCCUACUGGGCACCAACUGACGCUGAGGCUCGAAAGUGUGGGUAGCAAACAGGAUUAGAUACCCUGGUAGUCCACACCGUAAACGAUGAUUACUAGGUGUUGGAGGAUUGACCCCUUCAGUGCCGCAGUUAACACAAUAAGUAAUCCACCUGGGGAGUACGACCGCAAGGUUGAAACUCAAAGGAAUUGACGGGGGCCCGCAC
rnacentral:rRNA from 1 species